GAUGAACGCUGGCGGCGUGCCUAAUACAUGCAAGUCGAACGAACAGAUAAGGAGCUUGCUCCUUUGACGUUAGCGGCGGACGGGUGAGUAACACGUGGAUAACCUACCUAUAAGACUGGGAUAACUUCGGGAAACCGGAGCUAAUACCGGAUAACAUAUUGAACCGCAUGGUUCAAUAGUGAAAGGCGGCUUUGCUGUCACUUAUAGAUGGAUCCGCGCCGUAUUAGCUAGUUGGUAAGGUAACGGCUUACCAAGGCAACGAUACGUAGCCGACCUGAGAGGGUGAUCGGCCACACUGGAACUGAGACACGGUCCAGACUCCUACGGGAGGCAGCAGUAGGGAAUCUUCCGCAAUGGGCGAAAGCCUGACGGAGCAACGCCGCGUGAGUGAUGAAGGUCUUCGGAUCGUAAAACUCUGUUAUCAGGGAAGAACAAAUGUGUAAGUAACUGUGCACAUAUUGACGGUACCUGAUCAGAAAGCAACGGCUAACUACGUG
rnacentral:rRNA from 1 species